rnacentral:rRNA from 1 species
AUUGAACGCUGGCGGCAGGCCUAACACAUGCAAGUCGAGCGGAGCGGCGGACGGGUGAGUAAUGCCUAGGAAUCUGCCUGGUAGUGGGGGAUAACGUCCGGAAACGGGCGCUAAUACCGCAUCCUAUCCGAUGAGCCUAGGUCGGAUUAGCUAGCUGGUGGGGUAAAGGCCUACUAAGGCGACGAUCCGUAACUGGUCUGAGGGGAUGAUAAGUAACACGGGAACUGUGACACGGUCCAGACUCCUACGGGAGUCAGCAGUGGGGAAUAUUGCACAAUGGGCGCAGGCCUGAUGCAGCCAUGCCGCGUGUGUGAAGAAGGCCUUCGGGUUGUAAAGCACUUUCAGCGGGGAGGCGUUACCCGCAGAAGAAGCACCGGCUAACUCCGUGCCAGCAGCCGCGGUAAUUC